GACGAACGCUGGCGGCGUGCUUAACACAUGCAAGUCGAACGGAAAGGCCCUGCUUUUGUGGGGUGCACGAGUGCCGAACGGGUGAGUAAAACGUGAGUAACCUGCCCUUGUCAGUGGGAUAACUCUAGGAAACUGGGGCUAAUACAGGAUAGGAGAUAUUGAUGCAUGGUGGGGGUUGGAAAGUUUCGGUGGUUGGGGAUGGACUAGAGGCUUAUGCGCUUGUUGGGGGGGUAGUGGCAUUCCAGGGGUUUGAAGGAUAGGCGGCAUUGGAGGGGGAACGGGCACAUUGCUCCUGCGAUACGGCGCAGACGCCUAUGGGAGGCAGCAGUCGGGAAUUUGGCACAACAGGCGGGAGUCAGAUACGGCAACGCUGCGUGCGGGAUGACGUCUUUCGGGUUGUGAACCGAUUUGGCCGGUGAUGAAGCGUGAGUGACGGUAAUGGGUAAAAAAGCACCGGCUAACUACGUG
rnacentral:rRNA from 1 species